GUCUAUGGCCAUAUGACCCUGAAUGCCCCCAUUCUCAUCUGCUCAAAUAAAAGCUAAGCAGAACUAAACCAACUAGUGCUUGGAUAAAAGACAGCCUUAGAAUACUGGGUGCUGUAGACA
rnacentral:rRNA from 1 species